UACGGGGGGGGUAAGCGUUGUUCGGAAUUACUGGGCGUAAAGGGCUCGUAGGCGGCCAACUAAGUCAUACGUGAAAUCCCUCAGCUUAACUGGGGAACUGCGUCUGAUACUGGAUGGCUUGGAUUCGGGAGAGGAAUGCGGAAUUCCAGGUGUAGCGGUGAAAUGCGUAGAUAUCUGGAGGAACACCGGUGGCGAAGGCGGCAUUCUGGACCGACAUUGACGCUGAGGAGCGAAAGCCAGGGGAGCAAACGGG
rnacentral:rRNA from 1 species